rnacentral:rRNA from 1 species
GGGGAAUAUUGGACAAUGGGGGCAACCCUGAUCCAGCAAUGCCGCGUGUGUGAAGAAGGUCUUCGGAUUGUAAAGCACUUUCGACGGGGACGAUGAUGACGGUACCCGUAGAAGAAGCCCCGGCUAACUUCGUGCCAGCAGCCGCGGUAAUACGAAGGGGGCUAGCGUUGCUCGGAAUGACUGGGCGUAAAGGGCGUGUAGGCGGUUUACACAGUCAGAUGUGAAAUCCCCGGGCUUAACCUGGGAGCUGCAUUUGAUACGUGUAGACUAGAGUGUGAGAGAGGGUUGUGGAAUUCCCAGUGUAGAGGUGAAAUUCGUAGAUAUUGGGAAGAACACCGGUGGCGAAGGCGGCAACCUGGCUCAUGACUGACGCUGAGGCGCGAAAGCGUGGGGAGCAAACAGGAUUAGAUACCCUGGUAGUCCACGCUGUAAACGAUGUGUGCUAGAUGUUGGGUAACUUUGUUAUUCAGUGUCGCAGUUAACGCGUUAAGCACACCG